GACAGAGGGUGCUAGCGUUGUUCGGAAUUACUGGGCGUAAAGGGCGCGUAGGCGGCCGCCUAAGUCAGACGUGAAAUCCCUCGGCUCAACCGGGGAACUGCGUCUGAUACUGGGUGGCUUGAAUCCGGGAGAGGGAUGCGGAAUUCCAGGUGUAGCGGUGAAAUGCGUAGAUAUCCGGAGGAACACCGGUGGCGAAGGCGGCUUCCUGGACCGACACUGACGCUGAGGCGCGAAAGCUAGGGGAGCAAACGGG
rnacentral:rRNA from 1 species